GACGAACGCUGGCGGCGUGCUUAACACAUGCAAGUCGAACGGAAAGGCCCUGCUUUUGUGGGGUGCUCGAGUGGCGAACGGGUGAGUAACACGUGAGUAACCUGCCCUUGACUUUGGGAUAACUUCAGGAAACUGGGGCUAAUACCGGAUAGGAGCUCCUGCUGCAUGGUGGGGGUUGGAAAGUUUCGGCGGUUGGGGAUGGACUCGCGGCUUAUCAGCUUGUUGGUGGGGUAGUGGCUUACCAAGGCCUUGACGGGUAGCCGGCCUGAGAGGGUGACCGGCCACAUUGGGACUGAGAUACGGCCCAGACUCCUACGGGAGGCAGCAGUGGGGAAUAUUGCACAAUGGGCCGAAGCCUGAUGCAGCAACGCCGCGUGCGGGAUGACGGCCUUCGGGUUGUAAACCGCUUUCGCCUGUGACGAAGCGUGAGUGACGGUAAUGGGUAAAGAAGCACCGGCUAACUACGUG
rnacentral:rRNA from 1 species